rnacentral:rRNA from 1 species
UACGGGAGGCAGCAGUGGGGAAUAUUGCACAAUGGGCGAAAGCCUGAUGCAGCAACGCCGCGUGAGCGAUGAAGGCCUUUGGGUCGUAAAGCUCUGUCCUUGGGGAAGAAAAAAAUGACGGUACCCUUGGAGGAAGCCCCGGCUAACUACGUGCCAGCAGCCGCGGUAAUACGUAGGGGGCAAGCGUUAUCCGGAAUUAUUGGGCGUAAAGAGUGCGUAGGUGGUUUUGUAAGCGCGGGGUGAAAGGCUAUGGCUCAACCAUAGUAAGCCUUGCGAACUGUAAGACUUGAGUGCAGGAGAGGAAAGCGGAAUUCCUAGUGUAGCGGUGAAAUGCGUAGAUAUUAGGAGGAACACCAGUGGCGAAGGCGGCUUUCUGGACUGUAACUGACACUGAGGCACGAAAGCGUGGGGAGCAAACAGGAUUAAGAUACCCUGGUAGUCCACGCCGUAAACGAUGGGCACUAGGUGUGGGAGGUCUUGACCCCUUCCGUGCCGCAGCUAACGCAUUAAGUGCCCCGCCUGGGGAGUACGGCCGCAAGGUUGAAACUCAAAGGAAUUGACGG